CAGCAGCCGCGGGAAUACGUAGGGUGCGAGCGUUAAUCGGAAUUACUGGGCGUAAAGCGUGCGCAGGCGGUUCGUUAAGACAGAUGCGAAAUCCCCGGGCUUAACCUGGGAACUGCAUUUGUGACUGGCGAGCUAGAGUAUGGCAGAGGGGGGUAGAAUUCCACGUGUAGCAGUGAAAUGCGUAGAGAUGUGGAGGAAUACCGAUGGCGAAGGCAGCCCCCUGGGCCAAUACUGACGCUCAUGCACGAAAGCGUGGGGAGCAAACAGGAUUAGAUACCCCCGUAGUCCCUGUCUCUUAUAC
rnacentral:rRNA from 1 species